ACACGUGGCCGACGCGGGUCAAAGUGUAGUACCUGUUCUUAUCAGCUCGAUAUCUGCCACGGGUUGUAUUUGGACCCAAGAUAUUAAACUUAUUUUUGCAAGUCGGCGGAGUGCUUGAGGCCUGCUUCACCUCCGCCGCGGGUCGACCCGGCAUUGCACUAUCUUCGGGAUCGGCUCGCGGUUU